rnacentral:rRNA from 1 species
GAUGAACGCUGGCGGCGUGCCUAAUACAUGCAAGUCGAGCGAACGGACGAGAAGCUUGCUUCUCUGAUGUUAGCGGCGGACGGGUGAGUAACACGUGGAUAACCUACCUAUAAGACUGGGAUAACUUCGGGAAACCGGAGCUAAUACCGGAUAAUAUUUUGAACCGCAUGGUUCAAAAGUGAAAGACGGUCUUGCUGUCACUUAUAGAUGGAUCCGCGCUGCAUUAGCUAGUUGGUAAGGUAACGGCUUACCAAGGCAACGAUGCAUAGCCGACCUGCGAGGGUGAUCGGCCACACUGGAACUGAGACACGGUCCAGACUCCUACGGGAGGCAGCAGUAGGGAAUCUUCCGCAGUGGGCGAAAGCCUGACGGAGCAACGCCGCGUGAGUGAUGAAGGUCUUCGGAUCGUAAAACUCUGUUAUUAGGGAAGAACAUAUGUGUAAGUAACUGUGCACAUCUUGACGGUACCUAAUCAGAAAGCCACGGCUAACUACGUG